rnacentral:tRNA from 1 species
GAGGGUACAGCUCAGUGGUAGAGCGCAUGCUUAGCACAUGCUAACCCAGAUCCUGGGUUCAAUCCCUAGUACCUCCA